CUGAGGGUGGGCCGGAAGGCGGAGCUUAAGUAACUGGCUCCCCAGAGGUGCCGAUGGAGUCGGAAGAGGCUGGCAAAUGCCUUGGAGCUUCAAGUACAGACUGUUGUUGUUUGUUCUAUGUCAAUCCUCAAAACUGAACUGAAUCCACUAUACUAUGAACCAAUCCUCAGAUCAACAGAAGCAAGAGAGACUAUGACCGUGACCAGCCCAAAUGAUUUUAACAAAAAAGAAGAAAGCUCAAGCUACCACUUUAAUGUAUGUUCUAGUAUUGCCGUAAAAGCAGAUGCAGAGGUCAGGGGAAGAAAAUAAAAGAAUUCCAUGUA